rnacentral:lncRNA from 1 species
UGACAAUAACUUACUUGCCUUGUAGUAACCAUGUGUUCUUCUGGUCUCCCUUUAGGGCAAGAUGCCAACAAUCUAGUGAUUAGCCGUCCAGGGCCUGGCCAACUCCAAAUCUACUUAUCUCAAAGACCAUCAUGUCUUGAAGGAACACAGAGCCCUUCCGUGUGAGCUACGGGUCCUGCCUACUUAAGCAAUCCCCUGUAUGUUCGCGAUGGCGGUGUGCAACUCGGUCCAGCUGGCCACUCCUGGACUCCCUGUAUGUAAGUUCCCAAUAAAUGCUAUGUCUCUGACUCCUCCUCUAGGUCUGUUCUUCGGUCUCUCUGCUACCUAUCCUUUGCUGCUUGCCUAGUUAGGCAUGCAGUCAGAUAGCAACAAAUAAAAGUUAAUGCUGAGACUGGGACUAAGUAUGACCUUCUUCGUUGCUUGUUCUAACAAUGAGCAGAUACCUGCAUUGAAAUUGACUUUUCAUUGUUUUUCUACAUCACCAAACUCCCUGGUAACAUAUUUAAUAUCUGUUAAAAUAUUCGUGGAGAUGUAAACUCUGAAUCUAAUUACUUGCAUCUUAGGCUUCAAACAGUGGUAAAUGUUAAAAAGGUUUUCCUUUCUCUCUUUAUCAGGUUCUGUGCAGAUGCAUCAAUAUGAAACAAAGUAUGAAUGGACCACUACUGGCAAAGAGAGCAGGACGGCAAAGCUCGUCCAUCCCCUCCCAACCUCUUCACUGCAUCUGGGAAAGAACAGGCAGCUAAGGAGAAGGGGAGAAAGUGAGCAAAAGUGUCGAGAUGCAGUCCCAGGACCCCGUCCUCCCUUUCCACUGCUGGCUUCCAGACUGAAUUCCUGUGUGAAAUGAUAACAGCAAACACUUCUACAAUGUUUCCUCUGUGUCAGAAACUCUUCCAAGGACUCUGCUAGUAUUAAAAACAUUAAGCCUUCCAACAACUCUAUACAAAAGCAGUUGUAUUUCUCACUUUGCAAAUGAGGAAACUGAGGCAAACAGUGGUCAAACUACCUGAUUAAGAUCACAUUGCUGAGAAGUAACAGAGGCAGCCUCCAACAUUCACAGUCACUGCUCCAGAGAGCCUCAAUAGGAGAUAGGAUAAUCCUUGCCCUAAAAGAGUUCAUGCCCUUUAUAUGAUAGAGGAGGCAAGGUAGAACACAGGACUAAACCACAAUCUCAAACUGGUCACUCGGUAAUUCUGACUCUCAGCUUCUGGGCGUCAGAUGUGUUUCUCAGGGGAGGGAGUCUGUGAUAUGAGGGCAGUGGCUCUCUCCCUUGCAAUUUUGCAUAAUAUGUAGGGCUUUUCUCAAAAUUAAGAGUAAGCAUUAAUAAAUGCUUAUUAAAUCACUUUGUACA